GAAAUGCGAUAAGUAAUGUGAAUUGCAGAAUUCAGUGAAUCAUCGAAUCUUUGAACGCAUCUUGCGCUCCUUGGUAUUCCUUGGAGCAUGCCAGUUUGAGUAUCAUGAAAUCUUCAAAGUAAAUCUUUUGUUAACUCAAUUGGUUUCUACUUUGGUAUUGGAGGUCUUUGCAGCUUCACACCUGCUCCUCUUUGUUCAUUAGCUGGAUCUCAGUGUUAUGCUUGGUUCCACUCGGCGUGAUAAGUUAUCUAUCGCUGAGGACACUGUAAAAGGUGGCCAAGGUAAAUGCAGAUGAACCGCUUCUAAUAGUCCAUUGACUUGGACAAUACUUUUAUGAUCUGAUCUCAAAUCAGGUAGGACUACCCGCUGAACUUAAGC
rnacentral:misc_RNA from 1 species